CUGCGAGGUGUGCUGGAGGUAUCGGAAGUGAGAAUGCUGACAUGAGUAGCGACAAAGAGUGUGAGAAACACUCUCGCCGAAAGUCCAAGGGUUCCUCAGCAAGGCUAAUCCGCUGAGGGUGAGCCGGCCCCUAAGGCAAGGCCGAAAGGCGUAGUCGAUGGGAACCUGGUUAAUAUUCCAGGGCCUGGUGGAUGUGACGGAUCACGUAAGUUGUUCUCUCUUAUCGGAUUGAGAGGGCUGCGAAGUGGUCCCAGGAAAUAACACCACCAAUAUAGACCGUACCCUAAACCAACACAGGUGGACAGGUAGAGUAUACCAAGGCGCUUGAGAGAACGAUGCUGAAGGAACUCGGCAAAUUGCUUGCGUAACUUCGGGAUAAGCAAGCCCCGUUAGAGGGCAACCUCUGGCGGGGGGCACAGACUAGGGGGUAGCGACUGUUUACUAAAAACAUAGGGCUCUGCGAAGUGGCUAACACGACGUAUAGGGUCUGACGCCUGCCCGGUGCCGGAAGGUUAAAAGGAGGGGU
rnacentral:rRNA from 1 species